GUCAGGAUGGCCGAGCGGUCGAAGGCGCUGCGUUCAGGUCGCAGUCUCGUGGGUUCAAAUCCCACUCCUGACA